GUUCAGUUACCUAUGUUUUAAGAUUAUGUUGUAAAUUAGUACGUGGGAUAAUUAGCUGUUGUAGAGCUAAAGUCUAUAAACUUGCUAGUUUUUAUUUGUGAGAAUAAGAUGCUCCCAGUAUUUUAAGCCAUUUCAUAGUGUUCUUCAAUUUUUUGAGUUAAUAUUUAUUAUUAAUUAGCUAGAGCCAGGUUAUUAGUUGUUAGCAAAAGGAAGUAGUAGACUUCAAUCAUAGCUAAAUGAGCAACAUGCAAAUCCAAAACUAAAUG
rnacentral:lncRNA from 1 species